rnacentral:tRNA from 1 species
UAGGGGUGCCAGAUGAUUGAAUGGGAUUGAUUUAGGAUUAAUUUAUGGGUAUUGGCCCCCCUUGU